rnacentral:miRNA from 1 species
UAGGAUGCCUGGAACUUGCCGGU